rnacentral:misc_RNA from 1 species
UCCCCGUUCUCCUGGGCAGUCUCUCCAGAGUGCCCGGCAUGACCCGAUGGCAACUGAAGACAGGGGUUACGCUCGUUGCGGGACUUAACCCAACACCUCACGGCACGAGCUGACGACAGCCGUGCAGCACCUGAGCCGGCUUCCCUUGCGGGCUCAUCCCCCUUUCGAGGUCUUACUACCGGCAUGUCCAACCUGGGUAAGGUUCUUCGCGUUGCGUCGAAUUAAACCACAUGCUCCACCGCUUGUGCGGGCCCCCGUCAAUUCCUUUGAGUUUCAACCUUGCGGCCGUACUCCCCAGGCGGGGCACUUAAUGCGUUAGCUGCGGCACCGGCGGUAACCCGCCGACACUUAGUGCCCAUCGUUUAGGGCGUGGACUAC